rnacentral:rRNA from 1 species
AUGGCAUCCAACGAUGGUGAGGGUGGAGAAGAAGGUUGGGAGGCAGCGGUGCGAGCGGAGGUGGGCGGUGCGAGCUGGUGGGACGAUCCAGACGGCGCCGACCUCCACGCCAGGUUCAAGGCCUUCACGGGGCAGCGCCGCGACUGGCCCGAGCCCAAGCUCCUCUUCUGGAAGGACCUCCUCCUGCGCAUCGCCCGACGCCUCCGACUCUGCUCCGCCCCCGCCCACUUGGUGACGAGCGUUUGGUUUGCCCGCCCCGGAGGCAUCACGCCGCUCUGCUUGCCGCAAGUUCUGGAGGAGAUGCGUGCCGAUGGGGAGAUACUGCUUAAAUCCGAGCUAAUUGUUCCGACCGCAGGCGGCUUGUAUCAGCUGGUCAGGAGGGUAAGCCAGAUGGCUAUCUCAAGGCGUCCGAUUGUACAGGAGGACAUCCUUGUGUUUAGAUCUUUGGUUGAGGAACGGUUUGAGGACAUUGCUACGCAGCUGAGAGGCUCCCAUUGGACAUCAACAUGUGUCAUUACUAUGACUAAAUUCAAUAGCUUCUUUUACGGACGGGAGGAUGCUCAUGCAGCGUUGUGUUACUUGACGCAAAGUGGGAAAACAUGGUAUCUUGCGAUCAGGAAGGAAGACCCAGUCGAGCUUCAGGGUGUGAAGUUUCCACUUGUCUCUGCUCAUGCUCCUGCCGUCUCGAAGUUUGACUGUGAUACAUUACACUUAGUUUGGCAAGAAGAGAAAUUGCAGCAGCAGUUUGAUGUGCUUGAUCGCCGAUGGGAAAUUUCAAGGAGAGCGGCGUUAAUGUCCUUCAAGGCCGGAGACAAACAGGGUGCUUUUCGUUAUGUGAGGCAGUCUAAAUUAUUUUCAGAAAGCAGGAACAAAUGUGCACAACUAUUAGAGAGGGUUGAAGAAGUUAUAAGCCUGAUUGCUAGUGCUGAAUCAACCAAACAGGUUUAUGAAGCAAUCCAAAUUGGUAUGAAAGCAAUGAAGGAGCAUAAUGUCAGCAUGGAGGACAUUAAUACCCACCUAAAGGAGGUUGAUGACCUUGUUGCAGCACAAAGAAAAAUUAACACUGCCUUAGAAUCAGCGCCUUUGGAUUCAUUGGCUGAUGAAGAAGAUAUAGAAGAGGAAUUCAGAAACCUCGAAGCAGAAUUGGAAGAUAAGGUUUCUCCUGUGCAUGUUGAAGAACCAGAACCAGUUUUACAUGCAAAUGACGAUUCACCUGAUGAAACUGUCGAGUCACUGAGCAAUAACCUGUCAAGCAUGAAACUUGGGGCCAUGUAA